CCUCCUCUCCAAGACUCACCUGUAGUAUACACCAGGUAACCCUGCCCUCCUCUCCAAGACUCACCUGUAGUAUAUACCAGGUAACCCUGCCCUCCUCUCCAAGACUGUUUGCCAAGUGUGUACAAUGCAGUCAACAUUCAUUCAAGCAUCAAGUGGCUAAUUUGACAUCUAAGAUUAGUAGCCACAACAAUCAGACGUUGUAAUAAUUUUUGUAAACAAUAGAAUACCUAGAAUAGAUACUUUUCCUUUAAUUCGCAAGAGACUUAAUGUAUACAUUAACCUGUAUAUAGCCUGGUUAUUGAUAUUUUGUUGUGUUACUUUUGAUUUAAUUUUUUACUUUAGUUUAUUUAGUAAAUA
rnacentral:lncRNA from 1 species